CCCUAUGGGGUGCAGCAGGCGAGAAACCUUUGCAAUGUGCACAAGCACGACAAGGUUAAUCCGAGUGUUUCCUGCUAAAGGAAUCUUUUGUUAGUUCUAAAACCACUGAUGAAUAAGGGGUGGGCAAGUUCUGGUGUCAGCCGCCGCGGUAAAACCAGCACCUCAAGUGGUCAGGAGGAUUAUUGGGCCUAAAGCAUCCGUAGCCUGUUCUGUAAGUUUUCGGUUAAAUCCAUUAGCUCAACUAAUGGGCCGCCGAAAAUACUGCAGAACUAGGGAGUGGGAGAGGUAGACGGUACUCGGUAGGAAGGGGUAAAAUCCUUUGAUCUAUUGAUGACCACCUGUGGCGAAGGCGGUCUACCGGAACACGUUCGACGGUGAGGGAUGAAAGCUGGGGGAGCAAACCGGAUUAGAUACCCGGGUAGUCCCAGCUGUAAACGAUGCAGACUCGGUGAUGCGCUGGCUUGUGGCCAGUGCAGUGCCGCAGGGAAGCCGUUAAGUUUGCCGCCUGGGAAGUACGUACGCAAGUAUGAAACUUAAAGGAAUUGGCGGGGGAGCACCACAAGGGGUGAAGCCUGCGGUUCAAUUGGAGUCAACGCCAGAAAUCUUACCCGAAGAGACAGCAGAAUGAAGGUCAAGCUGGAGACUUUACCAGACAGCUGAGAAGAGGUGCAUGGCAGGCGAUU
rnacentral:rRNA from 1 species